rnacentral:sRNA from 1 species
CUGACUACUAUACCACCUGCACAUUAUACGGGAAACAAGUGUUUCAGUUGAAAGGCAAUCCGAAAUCCGUCCUUGCAACAGAAUCCAUGUCCAUCGCUAGUAAUAUAUUAUUCGCCAUUGUUUGGAAUCCGUCAAUGGUUUCCUUUACUUAGCGUUUCAGCACCUAUCAUUAGGAGCUUUAACCUGUCAAUAGGAAAGAUAACUACAAUACAACAAGCGAUGACCCGCGAAAGACUUGGCAGGGGUUUCGGAUAAAUAAUUCAAUGGCACCAUGUUACUUUUGGGAAUUACGUUCGGUUUGAGUGUUUUGUUAGUGAGCAUGGACGUGUUCGUUCAAGUGUGCGGUAUUAUGAUGAUGCAUUUUACAUAUGUAUGGUGGCCCAUUUGAUCCUUGAUUUCUUGGUAUCCUUUAGCGGUGUAGGGUCAUCGCUGUUGAAGUCUAGGUCGGACAGAAGGACGGUACCAUGUUUCCCCUUCUGAGGGGUGCGCGUUGUGCUGUCUGGCGCAUUCACGAACUGAACGUCGGCAGCCUCAACGUUACAGAGACCAUCGACUUUUCUUGAAACUGGACCGUAGAGCUCAAUCUAUUGGCCGUCCUGGAAAGGGAAAAAACUUAUAUCUGCAGCCUUUUGACCUUCCUUCAGUUCUGCAACUAUCUCGUCCCAGUAGCCGUUCCAAGUGAAGGUCAGGAAAAUGUCAGGCUUCCCGCAAAGUUUGAUUAUAGCCAUGGCGUCCUGGUACAGUGCGUAGAAGGAGCGUGGACCGUUUAUGAAAGAAGACGGUAGAAUAAUCCGAGUACCGAUCUCAUAAGUGUCCAGCCCUUGUUCAGCACUGUCGGCUACGCCUUGCCAAACGUCCUUGCGGUAAUUGUCCCGGAUGCUUUCAUGGAACCGAAGGCGGCCAGACUCAACUUGAGCCCAAGCGUCUAAUAUCAGCUCUUGAAAGAGAGGUCCACAAUGAAGGGCAGUGUUGAAACUGCCUGGGCAUUCAAAAAAACAGAAAUCGUAGAGCUGCUCCAUGGAGACUUCCUUCGUACGAUGAUUGUCUCGUCCUGAGGCGAACGGCGGUGGAGUUCCACGGGUUUCCGCUAUGAUCCCGCGGCCGCCAUUGGGCUCGUUUCAGAGCUUGCAUAUAUGGCAGUGACUUCAUCCACUGAGGGAUGAUUGUAUCGGUGACGAUCAUGUCGUCCCGGGUUUAGUAGGCGUAAGUGCAGAUUCGCCUACAAUGGAGACGUUAUAUAUUUUAUAGUUCAUAUUUACUUUAUUUAUGAACAAAUCACAAAACGAAGGU